GCCCGGGUGGUGAAAUUGGUAGACACGUACGUUUGAGGGGCGUAUGCCGCAAGGUGUGCAGAUUCGAAUUCUGUUCCGGGCA
rnacentral:tRNA from 1 species